ACCAGGUCUGCAAUAUUGGGCAUACAGUUAAAGUUAUUAAAUCAAAGAAAUGAUUUUUUUAUGCCAUGCUCUAUGUUCAUUGUACUAGGCUUAUAUUUGGCAAUAUAUUUAUAUCUUGCGUUAGCGGUUUUUUUUUUAAUGAAAUAAGUGCAUGAAUUUCCAGUAUGUUCAUUGUUUUGUAAAGUUUGCUUUGCUGAUCAUUUUAGC
rnacentral:lncRNA from 1 species